rnacentral:rRNA from 1 species
CCUACGGGAGGCAGCAGUGAGGAAUAUUGGUCAAUGGCCGAGAGGCUGAACCAGCCAAGUCGCGUGAGGGAAGACGGCCCUACGGGUUGUAAACCUCUUUUGUCGGGGAGCAAAGAGAGUCACGUGUGACUCAUUGAGAGUACCCGAAGAUAAAGCAUCGGCUACCUCCGUCCGAGCAGGCGCGGAAAUACGGAGGAUGCGAGCGUGAGCCGGAUGUAUUGGGUGUAAGGGGUGCGCAGGCGGCGUGGUAAGUAAGCGGUAAAAGCCCGGGGCCGAACCCCGGCGAGCCGUUGAAACUGGGGGGCUGGAGUGGGAGAGAAGUACGCGGAAUGCGCGGUGUAGCGGUGAAAUGCUUAGAUAUCGGGCAGAACCCCGAUUGCGAAGGCAGCGUACCGGCCCCACCCUGACGCUGAGGCACGAAAGCGUGGGUAUCGAACAGGAUUAGAUACCCUGGUAGUC